rnacentral:rRNA from 1 species
UACGAGGGGGCGAGCGUUGUUCGGAAUUAUUGGGCGUAAAGGGUGCGUAGGCGGUUUGGUAAGUCUGGUGUGAAAGGUUCAGGGCUCAACCCGAACAGUGGCACUGGACUACUGGAGAGCUUGAGUUAGGGAGAGGAGAGUGGAAUUCCUGGUGUAGCGGUGAAAUGCGUAGAUAUCAGGAGGAACACCCCAUAGGCGAAGGCAGCUCUCUGGCCUAUAACUGACGCUGAGGUGCGAAAGCGUGGGGAGCAAACGGG